CAGCCGCCACGGUAAUACGGAGGGGGCUAGCGUUGUUCGGAAUUACUGGGCGUAAAGCGCACGUAGGCGGCGAUCUAAGUCAGGGGUGAAAGCCCGGGGCUCAACCCCGGAAUAGCCUUUGAGACUGGAUUGCUAGAAUCUGGGAGAGGUGAGUGGAAUUCCGAGUGUAGAGGUGAAAUUCGUAGAUAUUCGGAAGAACACCAGUGGCGAAGGCGGCUUACUGGCUCAUACUGGACGCUGAGGUGCGAAAGCGUGGGGAGCAAACAGGAUUAGAUACCCGGGUAGUCCCUGUCUCUUAUAC
rnacentral:rRNA from 1 species